AGAGCUCGUAGGCGGUUUGUCGCGUCUGCCGUGAAAGUCCGGGGCUUAACUCCGGAUCUGCGGUGGGUACGGGCAGACUAGAGUGCAGUAGGGGAGACUGGAAUUCCUGGUGUAGCGGUGAAAUGCGCAGAUAUCAGGAGGAACACCGAUGGCGAAGGCAGGUCUCUGGGCUGUAACUGACGCUGAGGAGCGAAAGCAUGGGGAGCGAACAGGAUUAGAUACCCUGGUAGUCCAUGCCGUAAACGUUGGGCACUAGGUGUGGGGGACAUUCCACGUUUUCCGCGCCGUAGCUAACGCAUUAAGUGCCCCGCCUGGGGAGUACGGCCGCAAGGCUAAAACUCAAAGGAAUUGACGGGGGCCCGCACAAGCGGCGGAGCAUGCGGAUUAAUUCGAUGCAACGCGAAGAACCUUACCAAGGCUUGACAUGAACCGGAAUGAUGCAGAGAUGUGUCAGCCACUUGUGGCCGGUUUACAGGUGGUGCAUGGUUGUCGUCAGCUCGUGCCGUGAGAUGUUGGGUUAAGUCCCGCAACGAGCGCAACCCUCGUUCCAUGUUGCCAGCGGGUUAUGCCGGGGACUCAUGGGAGACUGCCGGGGUCAACUCGGAGGAAGGUGGGGACGACGUCAAAUCAUCAUGCCCCUUAUGUCUUGGGCUUCACGCAUGCUACAAUGGCCGGUACAAAGGGUUGCGAUACUGUGAGGUGGAGCUAAUCCCAAAAAGCCGGUCUCAGUUCGGAUUGAGGUCUGCAACUCGACCUCAUGAAGUUGGAGUCGCUAGU
rnacentral:rRNA from 1 species